CAGAGAGAGCCAUUAAGUUGGCAGUUGGGCAGCCAUGUUAGGACUGAGGGCUGGCAACUAGAAGUGCCGGAGCUUACCAGGGGUGCAGAUCAGCUAGUGUGUGCUCCCAUUCCCCGGUACCUGUGAACAGCAGACAGCAUCAGGCUAGUUCCCACGGUGCUUCCCCUGCUGAGGACAAGUCAUUCUGUCACCCAGCAUACAGCAGUGACCGAAGGAAGCGGAGCUGUGUUCAGCGUAGAGCCUCCUGGGGAGCUGAGUGGCAUCGGGCGGGAGAAAAGGUGGCACCAUCUUUGCCUAAGCCGUGCCAGAGGUGUGGCCCACCAGAGAUUGAUAACGGAAGGAGGAGCAAGUUUAAGGGACAGCUCAUACCCGUACAGCCGAGGCAGACUGUGAGGCAGGGCUGGAAGCAUCAUAUAAGGACAAUGCUGUCUACAGGAGAGAAUAUGUGUUUACAGUAAAAUCUUACCUGCAUUGCCACCAUCUGGAUCUCUUGGCAGUGUUGGAUGAGGCCUGGCUGCGCUGCUUCUCUUUCGUACUGUAGAAAUAUGAAGAAUGUCCUUAUGAACAUACUAUUUUGUUGAUAUGUUUAUGCAAAUUCCUUAUUGUGAUGUAAACAUAUGUGGAACCUGAUGAGAAGAGAAGUAAACUAAACGAUGCUUAUGC